rnacentral:misc_RNA from 1 species
GAGAAACAGAGAAGUUUCUCCAUUAAACCUACAAGGCUAUGGCUUUUCUCUUUCACCAUUUCAUUUUCUCUAAUCUUUUUCAUCUUUUUCUCUAUAUGGGUUCUCAACCUUCCAUUAUAUAGCCGUCAAGAAACUCAUAUUCAGUUCAACAGUAGUACUGCUACUGCUGCUUCUGCUUCUGCUUCAGUCUCUUUGAGACCCAGAUCUCCUUUCAAGAUUCAAUCUUUAACUGGUUUUCACAAAAAUUACUCAGCAACCCAAAUCAAGAACUCAAUUUUGGUGAGUACCCAUUUCAAUAGAGUUGAA